rnacentral:rRNA from 2 species
ACCAAAGCUAGCCCAACCAACUACCAACCCAAUUACUACAAUAAACCUUCAAUCAAAACAUUUAGUACUACGAUUAUAGUAUAGGAGAUAGAAAUUCUACUUGGAGCUAUAGAGGAAGUACCGUAAGGGAAUGAUGAAAGAAAUUUCAAAGUAAUAAACAGCAAAGAUUACCCCUUGUACCUUUUGCAUAAUGAAUUAGCUAGAAUAAUUUAGCAAAGAGACCUUAAGCUAACCUCCCCGAAACCAGACGAGCUACCUAUAAACAAUCCACAGGGAUAAACUCAUCUAUGUUGCAAAAUAGUGAGAAGAUUUGUAGGUAGAGGUGAAAAGCCUAACGAGCCUGGUGAUAGCUGGUUACCCAGAACAGAAUUUCAGUUCAACUUUAAAUUUGCCUAACAACUUUAAAAUUAUAAUGUAAGUUUAAAAUAUAUUCUAAAAAGGUACAGCUUUUUAGAACAAGGUUACAACCUUAGUUAGAGAGUAAAACAUAAUAUAACCAUAGUAGGCCUAAGAGCAGCCACCAAUUAAGAAAGCGUUCAAGCUCAACAAUAUCAUCCUCCCAAAUCCCAAAAAUCUUAAUCAACUCCUAAUACGUUACUGGGUUAAUCUAUUUAACAAUAGAAGCAAUAAUGCUAAUAUGAGUAACAAGAAAUAUUUCUCCUUGCAUAAGCCUAUAACAGUUAACGAAUGCCCACUGAUAGUUAACAACAUGAUAAGAAUAAACCACUAAUAAAACACUUAUCAAAUCAAUUGUUAGCCCAACACAGGUAUGCAUCAAGGAAAGAUCAAAAGAAGUAAAAGGAACUCGGCAAACACAAACCCCGCCUGUUUACCAAAAACAUCACCUCCAGCAUACCCAGUAUUGGAGGCACUGCCUGCCCAGUGACAUUAGUUAAACGGCCGCGGUAUCCUGACCGUGCAAAGGUAGCAUAAUCAUUUGUUCUUUAAAUAAGGACUUGUAUGAAUGGCCUCACGAGGGUUUAACUGUCUCUUACUUCCGAUCAGUGAAAUUGACCUUCCCGUGAAGAGGCGGGAAUAAGAUAAUAAGACGAGAAGACCCUAUGGAGCUUCAAUUAAUUAACCCAUAAUAACUCACUUAAUACCAAUAGGCUUAAUAUUACUUUAUUAAUGGGUUAACAAUUUAGGUUGGGGUGACCUCGGAGAACAAAAAAUCCUCCGAGUGAUUUAAGCUUAGACAAACCAGUCAAAGCACUUCAUCAUUUAUUGAUCCAAUAAUUUGAUCAACGGAACAAGUUACCCUAGGGAUAACAGCGCAAUCCUAUUCAAGAGUUCAUAUCAACAAUAGGGUUUACGACCUCGAUGUUGGAUCAGGACAUCCUAAUGGUGCAGCAGCUAUUAAAGGUUCGUUUGUUCAACGAUUAAAGUCCUACGUGAUCUGAGUUCAGACCGGAGUAAUCCAGGUCGGUUUCUAUCUAUUACAACAUAACAACCUCUCCCAGUACGAAAGGACAAGAGAAGUAAGGCCCAUUCUAUUAAAACGCCUUAGGACUAAUAGAUGAUAUAAUCUAAAUCUAGCCAGUCCACUUAUUUAAUGCCCUAGAAAUAGGGCUU